GGCUUGCUUCUUAUGAAAUAUAAUAUUUCUGCGUUUUGGAUUUUUGGUCUCUUGAUGUUUUAGUGAUCACUGAAGGGUGCAUGCUUUUUAUUUUAAUUAAUCACAAUUUCAAGAUGCCUGCUUUAUGUUCGUUUGGUUCCCAAGAAAUUGCAAGAAGACAAGCAGACGCUAAACAUCUGGAAUUUUUUUAAUAGAAUGCUCUUCUACAAUGAUUGGAUUUUGGUUUGAUUAUCAUGUCGCAGUAAAGAGAGGUGCGGAUACUUACAAUUAGAAUUCUGUUGCAUGGAAUCGAUUUAGAGACAGAUUCGAUGAAUGCUUUUAAGUGGGUUACAAACCAGCGUGAUCCCCGAUGGAAGCUUGCUCGACUGUCCAACUCUGUGCAACUGAUCAGGCUGCAGGUCCACAACUUGAUGUUUACACAUACAUUAAGGGGUGGCAACGAGGUGGCAGACGCACUAGCUAAGGAUGGAUG